GUAGUUACUGUAUAUGUACCAAGAAAGAUAUAACGUUAGGGUUUGGUUGUUUUUGUUUUUGUAUUUUUUUUUUGAAAGGGUUUGUUAAUUUUUCUAAUUUUACCAAAGUUUGCAGCCUAUACCUCAAUAAAACAGGGAUAUUUUAAAUCACAUACCUGCAGACAAACUGGAGCAAUGUUAUUUUUAAAGGGUUUUUUUUCACCUCCUUAUUCUUAGAUUAUUAAUGUAUUAGGGAAGAAUGAGACAAUUUUGUGUAGGCUUUUUCUAAAGUCCAGUACUUUGUCCAGAUUUUAGAUUCUCAGAAUAAAUGUUUUUCA
rnacentral:lncRNA from 1 species